UCCUCUCCUCCCCCAAUCCCGCUUCUGCUCUUCCAAUCGAUGCACGGGAGCAACGCUCGAGUGACGAAGGCGGCUGGACGCGGGAGCCGGCAGCGGCAGGGCCCGCGCGCCUAGCGACGGACGUGGGAGCCGGCGGCGGCGAGGCCCGCGCGCCCUAGCGACGGCGGCGGCUGGACGCGGCGGUGGCGGGCAGCGCGCGCGCAGCAGGCGGCGCGUCCACUGCCGGCGGAGCUCAAGAUCUCUGGCUGCUGGACAAGGAGGGAAGGAGCAUCGCCGCCUCGGGCUGCUCGUCGACUCCUCGUAUCGCCUGCUUGUCCACCACGCUCCUUGGAGUCGCGAAUCAACAACCCUCCUCUGCUCUAUCCGUGCUCCUGGAGAGGCUGAGGUGAGCCUGGUUAUCCCCUCCUCUUCUCUCUCCGUGCUCCACUUUCUCUAAGAUCCUGGACCAAAAUUUCUGGUGAGCUCCUCCUAUUUUGUGCCUGCAUGAUCUAGGAUUUUCUCCCCUCUUGAACUGUGUUGAUGCCACUGUUUUCAUAUUCGUGUUUUUGUUGCGUGUGCUUCCAGCCUGUGUGCAGGUUGAGCUGGUGGUUCAGAUGAUUAAUGGGUUUUUCUUUGUAUGCAUAGAAGGAAAAGGAUAUAGGACAUGCUCUGGCCUUAUAGAAUCUAUGGUAUCCAACCAAGGAAGAAAUGGUUAGAAAAUAAUGGACGGCGGUGGAUGAUUUUCAGAGCAACCUCACCUGAUGGACAGUGGUGUCUGCUGAGUGACAAGCAAAAGGCCGCAACAAUUGAUGGAUGGCGAAGGCCGCAACAGCUCGACUCCUCUUCUCUCUCCCGCCAAGAAGCACCAGACAGCUGGGGAGGUUCCAGACCUUCAUGCAGGUAAAUUGGUGGCAAUUAGCAACAAUGGACGAGGACAUCAGCUGUGUGCGUCCAUUCUACUUCUCCCCCUUCAAGAAAUUUCAGGAAUUGCAGAGAGAUUGGAGCUAGCAUUGGCAUGGAGUUGAGCAAAAGAAUAGUCACAGGAAUUUGGGUCUUCUAACUUGCAGCUAGGGUUUCGGUGUACAGAAGAUUCUUACCAAUGGUGAUAACAUGCAACAUGCUACAGGCAGGAAAUACAGUGGAGGGUUGCUGCUGGAGCUUGGCGUGAGUUCUUGCGGUGUCAUGGUGAGGAUCAUGUAAUUACUGUCAAGAAUGCUGCCAUUCGUUGAUUGCAACUAAAUGUACAGAUGAAAGGCCCUUUUGUUUUAAUGCUAUUGAUGCAUCGCAAGUUGGUGAAAAUGAUUUUUCUAGGUGGAUGCAAAAUUAGGAUUGAGUUUUACCCGUGCUGUUCUCGUUGCUCCUGUCAAGGUUUGCUUCUGCUUGCCCGUGUAAAGUGUAUGCUUGCCUAUGUCACACCAGAAGCGGGAUUUUUUCUUGUUUGACUUUGUGUUCUUGACCUCGGACCAUGAGGUAAAAGAGUGAUACCCUUUAUUACUAUUGAUAAUCGGUUGUAAAGCAUUUUGGGAAAGAUUUUUAACUCCAUAAACAGAGACUGAUAGUCACUUAAUGCCAAAGCAUUAUGUGUACAUUGGCAUGUUAGUCAUUCAGUUACCUUUAAACAAGAUCCGUUCUUGAGCAUGAGUAAAGUUAUAAUAAUGAAAACGAAACUCGAGUUGCUGGAAUCCAUCGUAUUGUCUGCAUGCAAGUAUAUCAAGUCCAUUGUAUGAACGGUCAAUUGAUGUUAUCUUUGGCUUCAGAAUUGAUUUAUGCAAUUUCAUGACUUGCUAUAAAUGGUAGGAAGGGUUUCAAGCAGAACAAUCAACUUAAUGAUGAGGUCCCGUUGAUUUUCACUUUGGCUUCUCUUUUUGUACAAUACUUGCAGUUACUAUUUGGACCGUGGUGGAGUCAGUGCCCUUGCUGCAGCCUACGGCUCUCCCCUUGCCCCUUUGUCGAAGCCAUCGGAGAGGACAAGGCCACCAACCCAUGAUGAUGCACUCACAGCUGCCCAGGCCUCCCUGGUCCUCCCUCGCAUGUCCUUAUACUGCCAUCAGUGGCACCACUCGAGAUCAAUGCCAUGAGGUUCAGAUCUUUUCUUGCUUGGAUGCUUGCCAUGUUAGGGAUUGGUCAUUUCUCUUACAGGUCUUUUAACUGUUUAAUAAUUGUGUCCUUAAUCAUGAGUUUGGCUUUAGAAUUAGAAGUUGCAUACGUGUUUUUUGUUGUGACAAAGUUCAUUUGAUGUUUAUUGAUUCUGAAACAAAUAAUUGGAAAUUAUGUCUUGAUGACUAUUUGCAGUACUCUGUUUUAGUUAACAGACACAUUAUAUUGGAGUGGCCUGGCAGCAAUAGCUUAGUCCAUUGCUCAUCUUAGCUCAAACUAAAAUCGAUUGUGCUGGCUAUAAUGUAAAAUAUGUACUAUUAAUUACCUAAGGUGAGGGAAGCAUAUGUUGCUUUACCUGCAACUUAAGCAUGGCGGUACCUCUGCUUGUCCCUUAGAGAUUCAUCCAAGUGAAUUGUCUGCGUUUGUGUCAUUUUCAUGACCAUUAAAUUCAACCCAUCCUUUCUUAGAUUCUUUACUUUGAUACUUUCCUGGAACCAUUUAGGUUAUCUACCAUGUGCUUCCAGAGCAAAUUUCUACACUAGCUGCCAUCAUCGAUGUUUCUGACGCUGUGAAUACCGCUGAAUCCCUUUGGUAUGCUUAGUUAUCUGGUUAGUUGGAUCAGAUAUAAUAUCAUCUAUUAAUCCUUUACAGUAUCCUCCAGUCACAUGAAAAAAAUCAUAAUUGUUUCUGUCAGAGCCAAGGUCCACUGGACCCAUGCGUUUUUCGUUCAUGUUUGUUUGGAUGCCUCCAAGAGAUAAGGUGUCAGAUCGUUUUAUUUAGAAACUUCUUUUACUCCAAUGAGAGAUACAUAUUCUAUAAGAACAUUGUACAUAUAUGAGAGGAAAAUAAAAGCUAUAUUUUGAAGCUACUUUUCAAUUAUAUAAACAAUAUUCUAUCUAAAUUUUGGUUCAGUUUUAUAAUUUGAUACUAAUACACUAUGAUUGGCUAAGUAUAAGUAAUGCACUUUCUCCUUAGAGUCGUCGUGUAAUCUUGGUAGUGAGUGGUUUCUAACCCCGCUACGAUGUACAUAUAAGAACAUUAUACAUAUAUGUAAUACACUUUCUCCUUACACUACGAUGCAGUGAGUGGUUUCUAACCCCGCUAAAUUUGCAUUGAUAGCUACCUCUAUGUAAUCUUGGUAGCAGAAAAUAAUUCAAACUUGACUUAGCUUGUUUUAAAUGGGUAAUCUAUUUAUUUACAUAAUGAAUCAUAUGCUGACUGCCGAGUAUGAUAAAGUUGACCAAAGGGGGAUGGAACCCUUCCUUGGCUGUCCGUUGUUACUUUCCAGCCGCGGAUUCAUACGAGUUGGAUAUCACCCUGUUUUAAUGGUAGCAUAAACUUUCUG